rnacentral:rRNA from 1 species
GAUCGGGCGGUUCCCCCUUCGGGGGGACAGGGUGACAGGUGGUGCAUGGUUGUCGUCAGCUCGUGUCGUGAGAUGUUGGGUUAAGUCCCGCAACGAGCGCAACCCUCGACCUUAGUUGCCAGCAUUCAGUUGGGCACUCUAAGGUGACUGCCGGCUAAAAGUCGGAGGAAGGUGGGGAUGACGUCAAAUCAUCAUGCCCCUUAUGACCUGGGCUACACACGUGCUACAAUGGGCGGUACAAAGGGUCGCGAACCCGCGAGGGGGAGCCAAUCCCAAAAAGCCGCUCUCAGUUCGGAUUGCAGGCUGCAACUCGCCUGCAUGAAGCCGGAAUCGCUAGUAAUCGCGGAUCAGCAUGCCGCGGUGAAUACGUUCCCGGGCCUU